rnacentral:rRNA from 1 species
UACGUAGGGUGCAAGCGUUGUCCGGAAUUAUUGGGCGUAAAGAGCUCGUAGGCGGUUUGUUGCGUCGGCUGUGAAAUCCCGAGGCUCAACCUCGGGUCUGCAGUCGAUACGAGCAAACUAGAGUGUUGCAGGGGAGACUGGAAUUCCUGGUGUAGCGGUGAAAUGCGCAGAUAUCAGGAGGAACACCGGUGGCGAAGGCGGAUCUCUGGGCCAUAACUGACGCUGAGGGGCGAAAGCAUGGGGAGCGAACAGG